rnacentral:lncRNA from 1 species
UAUGCUAGUUGCAACAACACAGAACCAAAAACUUACUACCCGAUUAUUAUGUGUAGAUGAGGCUGCAUAGAGAAUCAGGGAGGAUGGCAGGGAAAACUAACACACACAAAUGCAUCGCUUUCCUACAGGCACGUAACACAACAUAUGGCCAAAAGACCUCCCUACACAAUAUCAUUAGAAUCUUAAAAUACUUAAGAAACGUAAAAAGUGUACUGAAUCCAUAGUAACCAAACAUCGCUGAUGUUUUCACAUUCCGUGUUCUCAUAAAGAUUCAACAUUAUAAACAUGAUCAGUUCUCCCCUGAAUCUAAAUAUUUAGAACAAUAAAAAUACCAGCCUAUAAUUAACUAUAUAAAAUUCUAAAUUUCACAUUAUGAUAAGCCAGAAAAAGAAAAUAAGAACAUACAAACAUUUGCUUCUCAUUACAAAGAGAGACACAGCAGAGACACACUAGAAGAGCAGGAAGGCAGCCCGGGAAAGGCCGAGACAUGGCUUAGGAGGUUCAGGAAGACAAGACUGCAAUGCCUCAGACAAUCCUCAAUUUUUACAAAGAGCUUCUAUAAACCCACCCAGGUAAAGUGCUUUUAACUUAAAAGUAUUUUCAAAUAAGACUAUAUAUGACAAAUAACAUAUCACAGAAUAAUCACAAAACUUGUCAAAAAUGCCGUAAAAUAAAGAUGCCCUAAAUCUCUACAAUUUUUAAAAAUAAAUAUACUUCAAGUGUUAUAAUUUGGACAUAAAUACGUAAUAUACUUUGCUAUGUGAAGACCAGAAAUAUGUUACACACAGCUAUUUGUAUCAAAUUUGAUCCAAAAAUAUUAGACUUCAGAAACUUGGGAGUAGAGUACAGGGUAAGCUGAAGAACCAAGUAGCUCAAGAAAGCCCCUUGUUCUCAAGAGUUUGUGUGAUAAACACAGGCACUUGAAAUGUUCUAUAGACCUUGAAAUCUUUGUUUUGAGAAAACAGCCUGCAGUUCCCAUUUCUGCCAAAAGUCUCCUGGCUGAAAGUUGAAUCUGCCUUGUAGCAAGGACCUGGAGAUUCCAAAAGACAGGAGAACCUUGAGAAAAGGCAAAUUCCGGCUUCAAGAAAUACAAUGCAAUUCAAAAGACUGCAACUUCAUACAUAAAAAGUGAGUCUACUAAGAAAAAGAUAUGCAUAAUUUUUAUUCUAUUUAUUCUUAACUAUAUUCACAUCCUGUUCAAAGACCAUACUUCCAAAAUUUCUACACUAAAACUAACAGCAAAUGUUUUAUGACUUCCCAGGCCCAAAUCAAAUGAUUGCUGGGGCCGGGCGGAGGGGCUCACGCCUGUAGUCCCAGCACUUUGG